rnacentral:rRNA from 1 species
CCGUAAACGAUGAUAACUCGUUGUUGGCGAUACACUGUCAGCGACUAAGCGAAAGCGAUAAGUUAUCCACCUGGGGAGUACGAUCGCAAGGUUGAAACUCAAAGGAAUUGACGGGGGCCCGCACAAGCGGUGGAGCAUGUGGUUUAAUUCAAUGCUACGCGAAGAACCUUACCAGGGCUUGACAUGCAGGGAAAAGCGGCCGAAAGGUCGUGUGGGUAUCCUUUGGGGUACCCGCCCUGCACAGGUGGUACAUGGCCGUCGUCAGCUCGUGCCGUGAGGUGUUGGGUUAAGUCCCGCAACGAGCGCAACCCCUGCCCCUAGUUGCUACCCCGCAAGGGGAGCACUCUAGGGGGACCGCCGGCGAUAAGCCGGAGGAAGGGGGGGAUGACGUCAGGUCGGCAUGCCCUAUAUGCCCGGGGCUACACCGGCGCUACAGUGCCCGGGACAGUGGGUUGCGACCCCGCAAGGGGGAGCUAAUCCCUAAACCCGGGCGAGGUGCGGAUCGGGGGCUGCAACUCGCCCCCGUGAAGCCGGAAUCGGUAGUAACGGCGUAUCAGCAAUGUCGCCGUGAAUACGUUCUCGGGCCUUGCACACACCGCCCGUCACGCCACGGAAGUCGGCCGUGUCGGAAGUCCCCGAGC